AUACCCCCUUGCCCAUCCUUUUUCUGAUAAAACGAGAGCCGCGUCUCCGAACGGUUUGUGAGUAUCGGCGGUGACCAGCACGCAAGAGACGGCAGCGUGGUGCUCGGCGAUUUGGAUCUGAGUGAAGCCAUCGGUUGGCUGGCUGCCGGGGCGGCGCGCUACUCGGCGGCGUGGUCUCGAUGUUGUGGUGGUCGCUGGGCAGUUGGCGCGGCGUGGUGUGCGGCGUCUGCCUAGGUCUUGGGCGGCGUCAUGCGUGGUCGUCGCGGCGGAGCUAUGGCGAGUGAUUGUAGCGGCGCUCAAGUGCGUGCCCGUGCUUGUGCUGCUACGUGAAGGCGUUGCUUGCCAUUUGGAUUGAAUUUUGGUUGGGUGUGAGUGCACGGGUUGAGGAACACAAUGUCGGUGCGAUGCUUCCAAAUGCACCAGCAAAAGAGAAGGAAGAACGUCGACCGCGGGUGAGCGACAUCUCGCAGAUUGUGGACAGAGGCUACUGUAGGUGGCUGGAACCACAUCGUGGCCCCGAAAUCAACCAAUCACGGGCAGACAAAGAAGAGGUGACUCGCCAAUAACAGUGUGGCGGACUGGGCAGGCAACUAGAGGUUUAGAGCAAUGAAAAAGGUGAUUUUGUUCUUGAAUCGUGCUUAACAUUUAUUUAGCAAUCAAGCACUUGCAGCCCGGUUUGAGAUGUGCUUCUUGUUGGUUCAUGUAGACAUGCCAACAAAGGCCUCAUAAAGAAAAAUAGAAAAAAAUACAGUAGAUUGGUUUUGAUUGUUCUCUUGUGUAGACCAAAAUUAGCGAGCAAAAGAAAUUGGAUUUUGGUUCCAAAUACUUUCCAUGAGUUUAUCCCAGGAAUAAUGUAUUGUUCCUAUUUGAUUUGCUACAUGUAACUUCCGUAGGCAAAUCUUCCACCCGAUGUUUCUGUUCAACAGCUCUCAAAGGCAUAGAGUCAACCAGUCAGACUUUGACCAGAUGUCGAACAUCUUCAGAACCUUGAUUGCUGAUCCUAGAUACCUAAACUCUAUUCUGGCAAGUUGUACAUGUAAUAAUUAGUUCUAGGAGGGUAUGCAGAUUGAAUUUGCUAUAUUGCAGUCUGGACUACAAGCUGCAAUGUUUUGAUAACCAUGGUCUGGAUGUAGAUAAUUUUGAGAAAGCAUACUUCUUUCCAUGUGCAUUUAGGCCUUAUGGGAUUAAUCUCUCUAUCAUCAGUUCUUCUAGUAUUUGAUUGAACCCUCUAAGAUAAUUCCAGUUUCAGUAAUUUAUCAAAUCAAUCUCAUGGGAGAAGAUUUGUCCUUGGUUCAGUCAAAUCUCUUAUAUUUUCUUUAAAUCUACGCGCCUUGUAGUUGUAAGUACUCUACUAUCUUUUCAGUAACAUUCUGACCUAUAUAUGAGAAUUAUGUAGCACCUUUAUUACGACAGUAAUGAUUCACUAAGCUUCUAUCUUACCACAUGGUCCAAUUUAUUUCCAGUUGUUGCCACCUUCCCUGGAUACAUCACACCCUAUAUAGUGUGCUCCUAGCAUGCUUUGUGUUUUUAGAUCAAAACUGUUCGUCUGCAACAAAUUGAAGUGUUGGUCUGGAAAUAAAAUUAUUUAGAAAGAGGCGAACUAUCUACUCAUUUUCUACCAUCUAAACUAGUAUAGAUAGUGGUACAUGCUAGCGAACAAAUAGUUUAUACCCUAUUUCAGUGUGGGGUACUAUUCUGCUAUUCUGUGGAAGCACCUGCUAUUAUUUUUGUUCAAAGCAUUCAUAAUUUGGGUUUCUGCAAGGGCUCUGAAAAGAAACAUAUUUUUGAUAAAUGUUGUGCGAUGCAUCGUUCUGCACACCUAAUCGCCUACUUAGAAAAAGAAAUAAAAGUAGCUGCAUUCGUGUGUACUUUGGAGUGUGUAUAGAUGGUAGAAUAAUUGUACCCUUGCUUUGUACUAAUAGUUUUAUUUACACUGUAGGUAGUUCACUAUAUAAGUUUCCUGAUAACUGUAGGCUGAUGUUAAUAUUUUUUUGGAAAGAAUGAAAUAUCAGGAUAUUUGACAUUGCAGAAUUAUGCUGACACGGUGUUUGAGGGUAUCAUUGAUGAGUUUCAAUCUUGGAGAGGUGCAGGCUGCUUGUCUUCUUUCUGAAUCAUGUUCCUCCUGUUUUCUCCCUGUUGGGAGUGUAUAGAGUUCUCCCUGGUGGGCUGUGUAAUCAGCGGGUUAUCUUAGUCCAUGUAUAGAUUCCAGUUCUGUUUCCUUGAGAGCUGACCCUGUAAUUCUAGCUCUAUUUUCCUAGAGCUGAUACCUAGAGUUUUCCCUGUUUAAAUAAAGUUCAUCCCCAGGCCCUUCAAGAUAA